GAAAAAUACUUAGAUUCCAUGAGAGUUAUAUCAAUCUCACUAGUAGAAAAGACAAGCUAUAUAAAAUAAAAACAAGGAAGGAUUCAUGCAUAGAUAGAAUCAGCAUAUAACAAGUUAAGGCCGGCACCACUACUAUGCUAGAGGACAGCACCGGACCACUCAAUGUUCGCUGAAACCUCCCCCAUCCCUCGGGUCUAUGGCGUCUGGUCAGAGAAAGCUCGGCAUACCAAAGCUCCAAAAUGUGAUCAGGCCGCCGGGCUUCCCAGAAGAUGGUCAACCUCUGAGCAGAGAAGGCGCAAAGUUUAAUGAUAUUAAAAGAAGCACGUCACCACCAGAGUUAGAGUGUCGCUGCUGCAAAUCUUCCAAACCCUUGACUUCCUUCCAAUCAGUUUCCUCUGGAAAACGCCACAGUAUUUUCCCGGACAUACCACAUCAGAAUAUAAUAAUGCCUCAAAUAAAACCCAAUCGUUUCUAUUUUCUGGGUUAGACUUGAUCCGGUUGUCAUAAAGCAACAACGCCUUGUUGAGAAGAAAAAGAUUUGACUAUUCUCAUC